AUAAUCUUAUACAACCUACACAGAAAUUCAUCAAUGGUUGGCUUCUAAUUUUUUACCAAAAUUCCAAGGGUAGCAGUUAAUAGAUUCGCCACUGUGUAUUAUCCUUCUUCUCUAGAGUAAUUCGCUGAAGAGAACCACAGUAAUCACCUGAAAUGCCUUCAAAUGUCCAUCAUUAAUCAUCAACAACCACCAUUACUUGUACUGAACUCUAUGCUAUCCUUCUUUUUGUGAGUUCAUCCUCUGCUUUAACAAAUGGUGUAUAUGGCGGCAAGCUUUUCCACCGCUUUACUACUACAUCGCUUUACUCUUGUCUUUCCUUUAUCCAAUUUAUCUUCCAAACUUGCACCAUUUCACACCACACAUCAUCGUAGAAAACUACGAUUUCAUCCAUUUGAUUUUCGCAGCUCUUCAUUAUCCGCUAUUUGUUCAACUACCCAGUUCAAUUCUCACAGGACCCAGUUAGGAAAAGUGGAAGAUAGGGAUAAUUUGGUUGUUCUUGGUUGAAACCAGCUGUGAUGACACUGCUGCGGCUGUUGUGACAAGCAAUGGUGACAUUCUUAGUCAAGUUGUGUCAUCUCAGAUGUCAAAGGAGCAUUGUAUUGAAGAGCUUUGUGAUUGUGAUUAUGAAGUUGAGAUUAAUACAAAUUGGAGCGACUUCGAUCCAGGGCGUGAUUUUGUUGCUUGCCCUUUCUACAUGGUUGACGGAUUAGGAUGCACAUACUUGGUUGAUGAACCGUUAUUUUCGAUAAAAUCAGAGUCAAUAACAAAAUUUAGAUAGUCAUUCGAUUUCGUUGAUACCGGCUGUAACAUUCCUAUCCGCAAGACCAUCACUCCUUUGUUAUUGAUGGGUCUUCGUUGUCAUUUCUGCUUGAGUUUUAAAAGUUAAAAAUAUUUUUUUCCUUGCUCCGCUUCCGGAGGGCAUUGAAGUUUUCAUUGGUGAUAUAGAAGCUGGAAGAACUAGAUGUCAACCACUUCUAUGUUACCGGGACUUCGAAUAGCCUAUUAAAUUUAAAAAUUUCGUUUCCAAUUAACCCUUGAUUGCAAACAUCAUUUACCACUUCAUAUAAAUAAGAGUCGCGUAUGAUUUGAUGAGUCCUUUUACUUUGUUUGUUAGACUUUAAAGUCUAGAUUCAAAAAUGCUAUAACGGAACAGUGAUAGGGGUAAUGGGAGAUAUGCGGUUAAUGGAACACCUAAUUAUCGGUUGAAUCAUAAGAUGUCCCUUGAUAUGGCUCAGUACGCGAUUUUUUUACACCUUUACAACACAGGAAAUAUUAGAUUGUUUGUUUUGAAAACCUUUACAAUGUGACUGAUGCAAUGAAUUAUAAAUCUUUGGUUCCUUUGUAAUGGGC